UUGGCCAACAGAGGUGAACGUGGGCGCAGAAAACUUGCUGAUAGGUGGGAGUCGACUCUGUACACAGUAAUUUCGAAGGAUUCAAGAUGUCACACCUACCGCAUUAGAAACCCCGACAACGGACAUGAAAAAGUGGUUCAUAGAAAUUUGCUCUUGCAAGCCAGUUUCCUGCCAAUACAUGUGGAUCAUGACACAGAGCCUUCCUUCUCCAGUGUUGGUCAGGAGUCCCAAGAGAAGGAAGAGGGCGAUGGAAGUCUGUUUUUGGAGGAACUUAAACUUCACAAAUCCGAGCGCACUGCUAGCUGGGUUGCAGAGGUCACCCCAUUGGAGAACUUCUCAGAAGUAGGGCACACAGCCCUUGAUUCCCCUCCAGUUCCUCUUGCUGAUCCUGAGCCCCCCAUUGCUAAGCCACUGACAAGUGACUACAAUGGAAUAUUAAGUGUUAAGACUGGAUCAGAUGGUUGUCUUGGAGAAGCAGCAGAGGGUCCAUUCAGCGUUCCUCUGGCAGAUAAGGACAAUGGACAGAAUGACACUACUGGAGGACAACUGGACACAAGCAGCAGUCAGUCUCAAGAUCAAGUCCCUGCAAGGAAAACUAUUGUGAAAGUUGUUGACACUGACACACUGACAGUAACCGCACCCAUGGAUCAAAUUAAGACCAGAGUGGGCAGGGUAGUGAAACCAGUGAAUAGGUUGAUUCAGAACAUGACACAGAAAACUAAACAAGGAGGUUUUAUGGUUGGUGGGUUAGCUAAAACCCUGUUCAAGUAACAGAUUAUUGUUCAUUUUGGGAUAUUCCUGUUCAUUACGGACAUGAAAGCUUAUUUUGUUAUUGUCAUUCUGUGUGUCAAGAUAACAGUUAUUUGGUAAUCAAGUUGAGAAUGUGUAGACGGCACAUUCUUAUGCAAAGUGGACAUUAAAAGUCUGGCCAACUCCUUAAUGUCACUUUCUAUUGAAAUAUGGAAACCCUUGGUUGCAUAGUGAUUAUCAGAGAAAUAUAGCUACGCUUAGCUGAUGUUAUCUUGUAUGAGGCUUCUGAUCUGACUUGUAACUGUUUUGAGAAGUUCAGGGGGGAGUAUGUAGCUGAGUUAAUUUUAUUUAUUUAUUAAUUUAUUAACCUUCCCAAAACAUUUUUAUUUCUAUUUUGUCGAAUUAACAUGUCUGCUGACAUGGCUAUUUCUGUUUUGACUGCUUUUGUUUUUGGUUCCUAAUGUAAAUAUUGUUUUGGGGGAAACGUUAUUAGUGUUGCACAAAGCAAUGUUCAGUGACGUAGCUGCAGCAGCCAGGCAGAGGCUGCCUAACGGAGCUGCUGGACUGUGACAGUGAUCGUCUAUCAUACCUGGUGCUGAGUGUGUUCCACUGUCUUAUAGGUAU